rnacentral:rRNA from 1 species
GACGAACGCUGGCGGCGUGCCUAAUACAUACAAGUAGAACGCUGAAGGAGGAGCUUGCUUCUCCGGAUGAGUUGCGAACGGGUGAGUAACGCGUAGGUAACCUGCCUGGUAGCGGGGGAUAACUAUUGGAAACGAUAGCUAAUACCGCAUAACAGUAGAUGUUGCAUGACAUUUGCUUAAAAGGUGCAAUUGCAUCACUACCAGAUGGACCUGCGUUGUAUUAGCUAGUUGGUGAGGUAACGGCUCACCAAGGCGACGAUACAUAGCCGACCUGAGAGGGUGAUCGGCCACACUGGGACUGAGACACGGCCCAGACUCCUACGGGAGGCAGCAGUAGGGAAUCUUCGGCAAUGGACGGAAGUCUGACCGAGCAACGCCGCGUGAGUGAAGAAGGUUUUCGGAUCGUAAAGCUCUGUUGUAAGAGAAGAACGAGUGUGAGAGUGGAAAGUUCACACUGUGACGGUAUCUUACCAGAAAGGGACGGCUAACUACGUG